GCUCUUCCAGUGGAGACUAGUGCCCACUUGCUGAUCCACGGUGAUUUCCACUUCAGCCCAUGCUAUGCUGUGGUGAAGCUCCUCCAUGUUUGCAGAAGAGGUCUGAGACUUUUUUACUACAAGAGAAGAAACAGUGGUAUUGCAGAAAUGCAUGGCAGUGCUGUUUUACCAGCAGCAGAAAAGGUCUGCUGGAUGGAAACAUUUUGACCAGAUCUGUCAGAGACUGAAAUACUAAGAGGAGACAGAUGUUUAGCUGCUGACUCCAAGACCCUUAGUAUUAAAACAGUAACUACGUGGAUGGGUAAAUAGACCUGGAAAAAAAGGAAAGGCUGGGAGAGAAUGAAAGAAGAGAAACACUUUGGUUGGUUUGUUUCUCCCUCUUCUUCCC